rnacentral:rRNA from 1 species
UACGUAGGUGGCGAGCGUUAUCCGGAUUUACUGGGCGUAAAGCGCUUGUAGGCGGCUUCGUAAGUUGGGCGUGAAAGCUCCGGGCUUAACCCGGAGAGGCCGUCCAAUACUGCGGAGCUCGAGGGUGCCAUAGGAAGGUGGAAUUCCUGGUGUAGCGGUGAAAUGCGUAGAUAUCAGGAGGAACACCCGUGGCGAAGGCGGCUUUCUGGGGCAUUCCUGACGCUGAGAAGCGAAAGCUAGGGGAGCAAACAGG